rnacentral:rRNA from 1 species
GAAAUUUCGCCACGGAAGUAGUACUAGCGAAGAAUUGGCGAAUUUGCGAUCUGUGAAAGAACCGGCGAGAAAACGACGGAAUCCGAAUAAAUAAAGAAAGGCGACACGAGUGCCCCGCUACAAAGACGGGGACAUGUUCCGGCAUUUGGAAUCGGAAUUUGUCUUGCCUUGGGAGGAACAAGAACAAGCCAAGACAGAAACGGAACAAACGAGCCGUGCCACUUUGAGAGGAAGCUAAUUUUGUUGGCUUCUUCUUCCUCAGUCGUUACGCUUUCUUGGCGGUUUCCGUUGGCUGCGAGCUAAAGCCGGAGCCUGCCACCCUAAUUUUAGCCCCUCCUUGUCCAAAUUGGAGGUUACCGGAGGGCGAAUCGUAGCCCGGUUCGGCUGUUCGGCUGGGUUUGGCUACGCCCCUCCUCCUGGUCUGCUCGAUUCAGGCCAUGGAGAUAUGGCUGGCAAAGGUGCAGGGGGGUGGAGCUCGCCGUGUUUCUUGAUGCGAUUUGUGCAAGUAUCAGCCCCUCCUCGCAUCAAUCUUGGGGUCUAGAGCCCGAAAUCUUAACUUCUAGUCACCAACAUUAGAAAUUUGUUUGCCACCUUCUUGGCGAUCCUAAGACACUUGAGCCGCUGAUUGGGUUCCCCUUGUGUCUGCCGUUCUCAUGCGGCAGGAUUCAGAUGUUCUUGGCAAGGUAGGUCAAGGUAAAGGGAGAUGCCCAAGGCAGGAGACUGUAGCGGCGGCGGCGGCGGUGGCCGGAGGGACCUGCCUCUGCUUUUCCUGAGGGUGGGCGCUGCCAUCACGCUCUCCAUCGCUGGGCUCUUCUUCUCGCGGCUGCGGUGGCAGCACCGGCCUCGGCCCCGGCACCUCCUGCUCCCUCCUCCUUCAGAGCCGGAUGAUGCCCGUGGCAUGAAGGGUGGUGGUGGAGGGCUCAAGGACGAGCUAAGGAUCCUCAAGAAUGAGGAUACCAAGGCAAAAAUAAUCAAUGGUAACUCUGUGCACACAACCACUACCACUACAACGACCACCACCACUGCCUCAGUGUCACUUCCUCCGAAAUGCCGAAACAUUGAUGAUGAUGAUGAUGAUGAUGAUGAAGGAUUUCUCCUUCCAGAAUACAAUGAAAUGGUUAUGGAAGAAUUUGGCGGAGACGUAGGCAAUAUCGCAAGCUCACCUGCAGCAAGAGUAAGGGAAGAUGCAUCUAAUGAGCAUGAAAUUUUCAAGCUCAGAGAUUUGGUUAGAUCUCUGCAAGAAAGGGAAAAGACCCUGGAGAUACAACUUUUGGAGUUGUAUGGUUUGCAGGAGCAAGGUGCUGCAGUUAGGGAGCUUGAGAACCAACUGAAGAUAAACAAUGUCGAGUCACAGCUAUACUCCUUGAAGAUCGAAUCCUUGCAAUCUGAAAAUCAGAGGUUACAAACACAGUUGUCUGAAAGCUCAAAGUUAACUUCCCAGCUUGAGUUGACAAAAUCAAAAUGCAAGCUGUUGAAAAAGAAGUUGAGACUGGAUGCGGAACAAGCAAAGGAGAAAAUCACUUCCCUUCAGAACAUAGUUGAUUCCUUUCAGUGUAAGGAGAUUAUUGAGGGAGAAGUUGACGGCGAGGCUGAGAAGAAAUUAAAGAGGCUAGAGGAAUUGGAAAAUGAGGCAAGAGAGCUUAGAGCUGCAAAUUCAAGGCUGCAGCAGGAGAAUUCACACCUUACUAGGCGAUUGGAGCUCACACGCCUACCGCCUGUACCCAAGUCCCACAAUAGCAUGGAGGUAAAAACAUCAGAACAAGUUGAUGGGUUGAAGCAAGAAAACGAGAAGUUGUCAAAAGAGGUUGAACAACUGCGGACUGACAGGUUUGCAGAUGUUGAGGAGCUGGUAUAUCUUAAAUGGAUCAAUGCUUGCCUGCGGCAUGAGCUGAAGAACAAGGGGACUCCUGGUCCUGGGGCACAAACUACAGCACAGGAUCUAAGCAACACCCUAAGCCCCAAAUCUGAACAGACAGCCAAGCAAUUGAUAAUGGAGUAUGCCAAUGUUGGUGCGGACGAGAGAAGUUUAAGCUCCAUAGAAUUUGGCUCAGAGUACGCUUCUUCAAGGGCAUCAUCAAGUGGCGAACCCGAUGACACAUCGAUCGAUAUGUCAUCAGUCACAACGCCCAGAAACCCGAAGAAGAAAGAGAAGAAGAAGUUUUUCUCUAAGCUACGGAAAUUGGUACUGGGAAAAGAUAAGGAAAAGAACAAUUUCCCUACUUUGGAGAGGAGAGUGUCUAUUUCGAGCUGUUCCUUUGAUGACUUCACUGGAAGAGACUCGCAUGAUAGCUACUCUUCCUUCUUGACAGAAGGAGCCGUAUCUGCCAAUCAGCAGCAUGACGAUCGCAGCUGCGUUACGCCUUCUUUUGGCAGCCAAAGAUAUAGCACAGAAGCAGGAGAUGGAAGAUACCAGCGUCAUGGGGUAAAAAAGAAUGCAUCUUUCGGAUCCGGAAGAUUCAGUGAACAUGGUUCUCAGUUUGAUAGUGGUGAGGCCACAAUACCAGAAGAUGUUGAGAUCCACAAAUUCGCCGAGGCACUGAUUACAUCAAGGACAGGUUCUAUGUCAUCCAGAAGGACAUUAUCCUUCAGCUAACUGAUAAAAAACCAGUAGCUAGGAGUCAUGUGAUGCUGACCAUCUUGUCUGGAUGUAUAUUUUUGCCAGACCCUGAUGGUGAAGUGAUAGGAGAUGUUACUGGAAUGAAGUAUCCAAGACUUCAUUCUGUGUGAAAUGUACAAUCAUGUAUAAUAGUAUAGUGCAAUGACCUUUAAUCUCAAUCUUUGCCGUUCAUUUGGC